AACGCGAAGAACCUUACCCAGGCUUGACAUGCAGAAGACAACACCAGAGAUGGUGUGUUCCUUCGGGACUUCUGCACAGGUGCUGCAUGGCUGUCGUCAGCUCGUGCCGUGAGGUGUUGGGUUAAGUCCCGCAACGAGCGCAACCCUUAUCGUUAGUUGCCAACAUUUCGGAUGGGAACUCUAACGAGACUGCCUGGGUUAACCAGGAGGAAGGUGAGGAUGACGUCAAGUCCGCAUGGCCCUUAUGUCUGGGGCUACACACGUGCUACAAUGGCCGGUACAGAAGGCAGCGAAUCCGCAAGGUAGAGCAAAUCCAGAAAGCCGGUCCCAGUUCGGAUUGUAGUCUGCAACUCGACUACAUGAAGUUGGAAUUGCUAGUAAUGGCGUAUCAGCAACAACGCCGUGAAUACGUUCCCGGGCCUUGUA
rnacentral:rRNA from 1 species